CCCUUAGAUGUUCUGGGCGGCCCGCGCACUACAUUGGCACUAGCAAAGAGAUCCUAGAUUGAAUUCUUUGGGGUAUUCUUCUAAAUGGUGUCGUGACUGGGAUAAAUCCUUGUAAUUAUUGGUUUUGAACGAGGAAUUCCUUGUAAUCGCGGUUUAUCAGCUCGCGUUGAAUGCGUCCCUGCCCUUUGUACACACCGCCCGUCGCUCCUACCGAUGGAUCGUCCGGUGAAGCUCACGGAGUGACUGUUCACGCAACGGUUUACGAAGUGAAAUGGGCCUCACGAUUUAGAGGAAGGAGAAGUCGUAACA
rnacentral:rRNA from 1 species